rnacentral:lncRNA from 1 species
AAAUGCACACCAGCUUCUUGCAGUUUGGUUUGGGCAAAGUUCACAUCCAGUUUAGUUUUAAGAAAAACAUGAAGAAAAUCAGAUCACACGUACUGUUCUGCACAUCACUAAGACAUGAUUCUAUAUUAUUAUAAAACAUUAUUGUCUCUAAGAUGACCUGGAAAAAAGUUAGAAACUUCAUAGCUCUCAAUAAACUACUAGACUGCAAAAAUAAACAAAAAUCUAAACACUUAAAGACAUAGUAGUACCAAGCUAUGAUCCUCAUCCGCAGCAGGUAUUGUUAUUGAUGUUAAAGGAAUCUGCACCUUUCUACAUUUGUAGUGAUCUGAAAGGAUAAUGUUCUGUUAUUAAAUUCCUUGUGAAACACAGAGGCUGUUGUUCUUACUGGACUACUUGAUUACUUGUUACAAAUGCCCGAAUACCCUACCAUUUUUUCACUUCUAUAGAUUUGUUUCACAGAAUCAUAGUUCCUUUUUGUGAAGUCACUUAUCAACCACAUCUCUAAUCUCAAUCUCGCACUGCAGCCUUGCAUUCAUGUUUAGUAAAUGGGAAAAUGCAGUGAAGGCGUGGGUGCCUCUGUAUAAAUUUCAUCCCCUCAGCCUGUACCUUCACAACAAACUGAACGCUUGACAACUGAGCAACCAGGUACUUCAGGAGCUUAUUGAGAUAACUUCUUCUAACAAGCAGCAAGUAUGAAGAUGACAUUGUUCCUGCUGGCGUCCGCUGUGGCUUUGCUGGCUGGUCCAGCCGUUGCCAAUCCUGUCUCUAAAAGGCGUGAGCAGUCGGAGAACCUAAACCGCAUUUUUGACGAGAUUGGUAACUACACCAACUCUCUCACAAAGGGCUUUGUGGAUGAUGUGGAGGAUCUGGCUACACCUAAAUGUGGGAACAAGUUCUACUGCAAAGUGAAUCAAAUCCUGCAUGACCACGAGAAGUCUCACAAAAACCAUCAUGCAGAAAAGAUCAUGAAAAACAUGAGACAAUAUCUCUCAAGCAUCAACUGUGAAGAGGAGCUAAAAGAGGUGAAGACAGACGUGAAGAAGCCGAUAAUUGACGUGAUGGAACACCUCAGGAAGUGUAUUCAGCAUAGAAAUUUGAUGCAGUGAACCACAACCUCUAAAAUCUCUGAACUUUCCUGUUAUGUUUUAGAAGUUGAAUAUUGAUGACAAAAAGUGAUCGGGCAAUAUAAUUUGAGCUAUAGGAUUUUUAAUUUUACUGCUGAUGCUUCUGUUUUCUUUAUGUAGUAGCAGCUGUAUGCAGCACAUACACAAAGAAAGCUAAGACAGCUGGGUUUUAGCAACUUGACCCAGACCUGAAUGCUACAUCCAUAUUUAUUUUUAUUUAUAAGAUAAAGAGUUUAAAGUAGGCUGUUUUUUAAACACAUAUCUAAAUCGUAUAUUUAUUGUAGUUUUCUCACACCGCAUUAAAAUGCAUGUUUACAGAACAAUAAAUGAUAUUGCCCAAGAUUUGAGAUUGUAUGG